GAGGAAUAUUGGUCAAUGGGCGCAAGCCUGAACCAGCCAUGCCGCGUGAAGGAUUGAAGGCCCUAUGGGUUGUAAACUUCUUUUGUACGGGACGAAACCCUUGGACGUGUCCGAGGUUGACGGUACCGUAAGAAUAAGCAUCGGCUAACUCCGUGCCAGCAGCCGCGGUAAUACGGAGGAUGCAAGCGUUAUCCGGAUUCACUGGGUUUAAAGGGUGCGUAGGCGGAAUUGUAAGUCAGUGGUGAAAGCCUGCGGCUUAACUGCAGAAUUGCCAUUGAUACUAUAGUUCUUGAGUAUGGUUGAGGUGGGCGGAAUGUGUAAUGUAGCGGUGAAAUGCUUAGAUAUUACACAGAACACCGAUUGCGAAGGCAGCUCACUAAGCCAUUACUGACGCUCAUGCACGAAAGCGUGGGGAUCAAAC
rnacentral:rRNA from 1 species